rnacentral:rRNA from 1 species
CAGCAGCCGCGGGAAUACAGAGGGUGCAAGCGUUAAUCGGAAUUACUGGGCGUAAAGCGCGCGUAGGUGGUUUGUUAAGUUGGAUGUGAAAUCACCGGGCUCAACCUGGGAACUGCAUCCAAAACUGGCAAGCUAGAGUAUGGUAGAGGGUGGUGGAAUUUCCUGUGUAGCGGUGAAAUGCGUAGAUAUAGGAAGGAACACCAGUGGCGAAGGCGACCACCUGGACUGAUACUGACACUGAGGUGCGAAAGCGUGGGGAGCAAACAGGAUUAGAUACCCCGGUAGUCCCUGUCUCUAUACA